UACGUAGGGACCGAGCGUUGUCCGGAAUCAUUGGGCGUAAAGGGCGCGUAGGCGGCAAUUCAAGUCAUCUGUGAAAUCUCCGGGCUUAACUCGGAACGGUCAGAUGAUACUGCUUUGCUAGAGUGCGGAAGGGGCAAUCGGAAUUCUUGGUGUAGCGGUGAAAUGCGUAGAUAUCAAGAGGAACACCGGUGGCGAAGGCGGAUCUCUGGGCCAUAACUGACGCUGAGGAGCGAAAGCAUGGGGAGCGAACAGG
rnacentral:rRNA from 1 species